GUAGGUGGCAAGCGGUUGUCCGGAAUUAUUGGGCGUAAAGCGCGCGCAGGCGGUUCUUUAAGUCUGAUGUGAAAGCCCACGGGCUCAACCGUGGAGGGUCAUUGGAAACUGGAGAACUUGAGUACAGAAGAGGAAAGCGGAAUUCCACGUGUAGCGGUGAAAUGCGUAGAGAUGUGGAGGAACACCAGUGGCGAAGGCGGCUUUCUGGUCUGUAACUGACGCUGAGGCGCGAAAGCGUGGGGAGCAAACAGGAUUAGAUACCCUGGUAGUCCACGCCGUAAACGAUGAGUGCUAAGUGUUAGGGGGUUUCCGCCCCUUAGUGCUGCAGCUAACGCAUUAAGCACUCCGCCUGGGGAGUACGGCCGCAAGGCUG
rnacentral:rRNA from 1 species